UUCUCGCACACUCGCACAAAUGAACCUUAAACCCAACCUUUCCAAAUACUUUCCCCAAUUUAUUUCAAAUGAAUAAGGUUUAUAUGUUCCAAAAGGGAGAGGAAAAGAAGAGGAGAGUGAAACCUUAGCUAAUUUACUUUCUCGUGCCUCCAUAUCUGAACCCCCAAUUCAAUCUCUCCCAUUUGAUGAAGUAGCGAGCUGGUUAAGUAAUAGGGAUCCAGAAAUUCGAGCCUCGCCGCCGUUUGAAUUCGGUGUGGUGUUGCUUCGGGAAGUGAUUCCUUCUUUUUUGGUGUUUUUAGCAGAAUUAUUCGUUUUGAAAGACCUAGAAAAUGUCCACCUUAUUUCAUAUUUGUUUCUUGCCAUUUUUUCAAAUUUAGGGUUAAUCUAAUUGUUAGUAAUGGUUCACGUAAUUAAGGCUUAUAGAUCGAGGAAGAAUUUUGAUUUUAUUGAUAAAAAUUUAGGUUUUAAUCUAGAAGAGUGAUUUGGGUAUAAAACAAUUAAGUUAUGUGUAAUCAAAUCUUACAAUCUUUUACCAUAGGAAGAAUCUGAUUAAAAAUAGAGUGAAAUUCAUUAAUUGAAACUGUAUAGUUUUAAUUUUAGAAGUUUAUUCUCGGUCUUCAAGCUGUCUUUCCUAUCCUUGAAUGGGGAAGAGGUUAUAAUCUCAAGAAGUUUAGAGGAGACCUCAUUUAUGGCCUCACUAUUGCUAGUCUCUGUAUCCCUCGGGUAUACAAUGAAAUUCCAUUGUUUUCGGGCCAAAAAUCAUCUGUGACUCUCUUUAUUUUGUUGGUGUAACAGGAUAUAGGGUAUUCUAAACUUGCAAACUUAGAUCUGCAAUAUGGAUUAUGUAAGCUCUACUGCCACAACUCUAGCUUUUUUAGCAGACAGGAUGUGCUGAUCUACAAAAAUCGCAAGUUGAAUAUGAUGGGAAAGCAUGUGUUGUUGUUAGAUACCUACUUUAGGGAUCCAAAUUUUAGAUCACAACUUUCUGAAGCUGAAAUCGGUUACUGGAUUCAGAAGUGGUACACUGGUACCUGUACUAAAUGAAAAUGAUCCAAUUGUUUAAUGCGAUCAUGAGCUAGUUCGGUAUGAUCCUAGUUAACUUCGAGGAGCCAGUAAAGCCUAUGUUUGACCUUUAGUGUCGGACUUGGCCUUUGCAAUAGACGUCCACGGUGACAAUCGAGCACGUGCCUAAUGGCGACUCGGCAGCAUUUGGCCAGAUUAUCCAAGGAUCUUCACUGCAUGCGCACCCGAAUGGGCAACGUUCGCCAGUCUCGAUCGGGCAAAAAACUUUUCUUCAGCAGCAGGCGGAAGCUCGACCGACCAGGAGAUUAUUGAAGCUUGCACGCGCGCUCAAUCGGGCAAUUGUUGGCCCGAUCCAACGACGACUCCCUCUCCCGCAUUUCUGACUUAGAAACCACCUUAGAUUUUGAGCACAUUUACUUUAUUUUGU